rnacentral:rRNA from 1 species
CAAGAGCGUAUAUUAAAGUUGUUGCAGUUAAAAAGCUCGUAGUUGGAUUUCUGGUACAAUGCGCCUGACCCGCGGCAGUAAUGCCUGUGAGUGUCGGUGCGCGUUUACCAUCCUUCUAGAAAACGUUUCUACCCUUUACUGGGCCGGACUCGCGAUCUAGAUCUUUUACUUUGAAAAAAUUAGAGUGUUCAAAGCAGGCUUUCGCUGUGAAUACAUUAGCAUGGAAUAAUAAUCUAGGACUUCGGUUUUUAUUUUUGUUGGUUUCUAAACACUGAAGUAAUGAUUGAUAGGGAUAGUUGGGGGGUGCUAGUAUUGGCCGGCCAGAGGUGAAAUUCUUGGAUUCGGUCAAGACUAACUUAUGCGAAAAGCAUUCACCAAGGAUGUCUUCUUUAAUCAAGAACGAAAAGUUGGGGGGAUCGAAGAUGAUUAGAUACC